rnacentral:rRNA from 1 species
CUAUGCGCCUUGCCACGCCGCUCAGUCAGAGUUUGAUCCUGGCUCAGGACGAACGCUGGCGGCGUGCCUAAUACAUGCAAGUAGAACGCUGAAGAGAGGAGCUUGCUCUUCUUGGAUGAGUUGCGAACGGGUGAGUAACGCGUAGGUAACCUGCCUUGUAGCGGGGGAUAACUAUUGGAAACGAUAGCUAAUACCGCAUAACAAUGGAUGACACAUGUCAUUUAUUUGAAAGGGGCAAUUGCUCCACUACAAGAUGGACCUGCGUUGUAUUAGCUAGUAGGUGAGGUAAUGGCUCACCUAGGCGACGAUACAUAGCCGACCUGAGAGGGUGAUCGGCCACACUGGGACUGAGACACGGCCCAG